GGCCAGAUAGCUCAGUUGGUAGAGCAGAGGACUGAAAAUCCUCGUGUCGUGGGUUCAAUUCCCUCUCUGGCCACCA
rnacentral:tRNA from 1 species